rnacentral:rRNA from 1 species
UACGUGGGCAGCAAGCGUUGUUCGGAAUUACUGGGCGUAAAGCGAGUGUAGGCGGUUUGCCGUGUCUGCCGUGAAAUCUCCCGGCUCAACUGGGAGGGUGCGGCGGAAACUGGCAGGCUAGAGUGCGGAAGAGGAAAGUGGAAUUCCUGGUGUAGCGGUGAAGUGCGUAGAUAUGCGGAGGAACACCGGUGGCGAAGGCGGCUACCUGGACCGAUACUGACGCUGAGGCGCGAAAGCGUGGGGAGCAAACAGG